AUUGAACGCUAGCGGCAUGCCUAACACAUGCAAGUCGAGCGAGAGGCGGACGGGUGUGUAAUGUAUGGGGACUGCCCGUUAGGGGGGGAGAACUCCUGUAAACGGUAGCUAAUACCGCAUACUACCUGAUUACCCAUAUGGGAUUAGCUAGUAGGGGAGGUAAUGGCUCACCUAGGCGACGAUCCCUAGCUGGUCUGAGAGGAUGAGCAGCCACACUGGGACUGAGACACGGCCCAGACUCCUACGGAGGCAGCAGUGGGGAAUAUUGCACAAUGGGCGCAAGCCUGAUGCAGCCAUGCCGCGUGUAUGAAGAAGGCCUUAGGGUUGUAAAGUACUUUCAGUCGGGAGGCGUUACCGACAGAAGAAGCACCGGCUAACUACGUGCCAGCAGCCGCGGUAAUAC
rnacentral:rRNA from 1 species